CCGAGUUUACAACUCCCAAACCCAAUGUGAACGUUACCAAACUGUUGCCUCGGCGGGGAUCACUGCCCCGGGUGCGUCCAAGCCCCGGAACCAGGCGCCCGCCGGAGGAACCAACCAAACUCUUAUUGUAGUACCCCCUCGCGGGUAUUUUUAUAUCUGAGCCUUCUCGCGCCUCUCGUAGCGUUCGAAAAUGAAUCA
rnacentral:misc_RNA from 1 species